ensembl:snRNA U1 U1 spliceosomal RNA
AUACUUACCUGGCAGGGGAGAUACCACGAUCACGAAGGUGGUUUUCCCAGGGCGAGGCUUAUCCAUUGCACUCCGGAUGUGCUGACCCCUGCGAUUUCCCCAAAUGUGGGAAACUCGACUGCAUAAUUUGUGGUAGUGGGGGACUGCGUUCGCGCUUUCCCCUA